CAGCUCACUACUCCCUGAAGGGCACUUUCAAGAAAGUUCAAUCAAUGGAAGGGUCAAAUGUUUUCUUUUUCAAACGUCCAUUUUGCAUGUAAUGGCUGCUCCAUGCAGAGUUUACGGGUGUUCUCUUGUUCAUGAGAUCUAGCGUCCUUCUGCACAAAUGCAUGUGCUAUGGGUAAGAAAUUACUUCAACUGAGUUUAUUGGCAUUUCUUAGAGCAUAUGAGUUCAAAGAAAAUUAUUACAGGGAAAAUGAACUCCCACCCCAGAAACGCAUUUUCUGAAAGGGCUUUAAGAUGGUGAGAGAAACGGCCAGUCAGGAGACAGUUGUGUACACCGAACUCUAGCUGAGGAAACAGUAACAAGAAGCCACAUCCUGAUUCGCAUCCUCCUCCCAAAACCCUGCAACUUCCUGAAUUCCCGUGCUCCUCAGGCGGGACUUCCUGUUGGAGAUGGAGCUAAAGAAGCUGAAAAACUCCUCCAUCCUUCCUAAGAUAGAUCUCAUUUAUGCAUGAGGUCAGACAAAUUUCCCUAAUGCUGCCCUUGAGGGGAUAUCCAGGGAUAACAAAGGCUGUCUUCCAUGCCUCUCCCCGAAUCCAGAUGUAAACCAGAAAACAUAAAAUAAAAAGCCAAAAAUCAUUCCAAAAAGUCGACAUUAAAUUGACAAAAAGACCACGUGUGUUCUA